UGGGGAAUUUUGCACAAUGGUGGAAACCCUGAUGCAGCGACGCCGCGUGAUUUAGAAGGCCUUCGGGUUGUAAAAAUCUUUUCUAUGGGAAGAAAAUGACAGUACCAUAGGAAUAAGGACUGGAUAAUUACGUGCCAGCAGCCGCGGUAAUAAGUAAGGGGCGAGCGUUGUCCGGAAUUAUUGGGCGUAAAGAGUGCGUAGGCGGCAAAUUAAGUCAGAUGUGAAAACUAAGGGCUCAACCCAUAGAUUGCAUCUGAAACUGAUAUGCUUGAGUCAAGGAGAGGAAAGUGGAAUUCCUAGUGUAGCGGUGGAAUGCGUAGAUAUUAGGAGGAAUACCGGUGGCGAAGGCGACUUUCUGGACUUGAACUGACGCUGAGGCACGAAAGCGUGGGGAGCAAACAGG
rnacentral:rRNA from 1 species